rnacentral:rRNA from 1 species
GAUUUCUGGCAAGCCCGAACUUCCCGGUUCCUUCUGGAACUGUGUGUUGUCCAUGGGUCUGCCAUCCUUCCAGAAAACUGUGUCUACCGCUCUGCGGCCGGGUGCUGUGAUCUGGAUCUUUUACUUUGAAAAAAUUAGAGUGUUCCAAGCAGGCAUUUGCUUUGAAUACAUUAGCAUGGAAUAAUAAUAUAGGGCUUUGGACCUAUUUUGUUGGUUUCUAGGACUGAAGUAAUGAUUGAUAGGGAUAGUUGGGGGUGCUAGUAUUCAGCGGCCAGAGGUGAAAUUCUUGGAUUCGCUGAAGACUAACUACUGCGAAAGCAUU